rnacentral:rRNA from 1 species
GAUUUCUGGUUCGGCGCACUUGGCCCGUCUCGGUUUACGGGAUUGCGUGCCGGUGUGCGCCAUCCAUCCUUCGAGAGAACACUUCUACCCUCACGGGCCGGGAGUGCUAUCUCGAUCUUUUACUUUGAAAAAAUUAGAGUGUUUAAAGCAGGCUUGCGCUAUGAAUACAUUAGCAUGGAAUAAUAAUUUAGGACUUUGGUCUUAUUUUGUUGGUUUCUAGGACUAAAGUAAUGAUUGAUAGGGACAGUUGGGGGUGCUAGUAUUCAGCGGCCAGAGGUGAAAUUCUUGGAUUCGCUGAAGACUAACUUAUGCGAAAGCAUU